UACAGAGGUGGCAAGCGUUGUUCGGAAUUACUGGGCGUAAAGGGCGCGUAGGCGGUUUGUUAAGUCCCGUGUGAAAGUUUUUGGCUCAAUCGGGGAACGGCGUGGGAAACUAGCAGGCUUGAGUUCGGGAGAGGGAAGCGGAAUUCCGGGUGUAGCGGUGAAAUGCGCAGAUAUUUGGAGGAAUAUUGGUGGUGAAGGCGGCUUCCUGGAUUGACACUGACGCUGAGGUGCGAAAGCUAGGGGAGCAAACGGG
rnacentral:rRNA from 1 species